rnacentral:rRNA from 1 species
AUACGUAGGGGGCAAGCGUUAUCCGGAUUUACUGGGUGUAAAGGGAGCGUAGACGGCAAAGCAAGUCUGAAGUGAAAGCCCCGGGCUCAACCCGGGAAUUGCUUUGGAAACUGUUUAGCUAGAGUGCAGGAGAGGUAAGCGGAAUUCCUAGUGUAGCGGUGAAAUGCGUAGAUAUUAGGAGGAACACCGGCGGCGAAGGCGGCUUACUGGACUGUAACUGACGUUGAGGCUCGAAAGCGUGGGGAGCAAACAGGAUUAGAUACCCUGGUAGUCCACGCCGUAAACGAUGAUUACUAGGUGUUGGUUGUCAUAGACAAUCGGUGCCGCAGCAAACGCAAUAAGUAAUCCACCUGGGGAGUACGUUCGCAAGAAUGAAACUUAAAGGAAUUGACGGGG